UUCAUCCAACUACUCAACUCCUUCUUCACCACUCUCUCUCUCUCUAUCUCUCUCUCUCUACCACUUCUCGCCUCAGAUCCGAUCUUCUCAGAAAUCCAAAUCGAUCAAACAUGUCGUCAACCUUCAGCGGCGAUGAGACGGCGCCCUUCUUUGGUUUCCUCGGCGCCGCCGCGGCACUCGUCUUCUCCUGUAUGGGAGCGGCGUACGGCACGGCGAAGAGCGGCGUCGGCGUGGCGUCCAUGGGUGUGAUGAGGCCGGAGCUGGUGAUGAAAUCCAUCGUACCCGUGGUUAUGGCUGGUGUGUAGGGUAUUUAUGGCCUGAUUAUUGCUGUUAUUAUUAGUACCGGUAUUAACCCUAAGGCCAAGUCUUACUACCUCUUCGAUGGAUACGCUCACCUUUCUUCUGGACUCUCUUGUGGUCUCGCCGGCCUUGCUGCCGGUAUGGCCAUCGGAAUCGUCGGAGAUGCCGGUGUCAGAGCCAACGCACAACAGCCGAAGCUCUUCGUGGGUAUGAUUCUUAUCCUUAUUUUCGCUGAAGCCUUGGCUCUAUACGGUCUCAUUGUAGGCAUCAUCCUUUCUUCUCGUGCCGGUCAGUCUAGAGCUGACUAGAGAGAGGAUCACACAUCUCUCAAGAAUUGUUGCAGUUUCUUGCUAUUUAUUAAGUAAGAAUUUUUUAUUUUCACGUUCCCCCCUGUCUAGCAUAGUAGUAUUGUCUGUGGCGGUGUUUUUUAGGUUCGAGCGUGUUAUAUUUGUGCGUGUGGCAAUUGCUUGGCCUGAAGAAUUUGAGCAUUUGAUGUCCGUGGCGGUAGAUUGUAGAUGAGAAAAAUUGAUUUUUCCCUGAAUAAUGUUUUUUCUUUCGUAUUUGCCUGUGGUGCUUUAUUUUGCAAGAAACCUAUUUGAUCUGUGUAAAACAAUAGCAUUGUAUUAUUUUGGUGAAACUCCAAUCGAUUUUUUCUUUUUUAAU